GAUGAACGCUGGCGGCGUGCCUAAUACAUGCAAGUCGAGCGAAUGGAUUAAGAGCUUGCUCUUAUGAAGUUAGCGGCGGACGGGUGAGUAACACGUGGGUAACCUGCCCAUAAGACUGGGAUAACUCCGGGAAACCGGGGCUAAUACCGGAUAACAUUUUGAACCGCAUGGUUCGAAAUUGAAAGGCGGCUUCGGCUGUCACUUAUGGAUGGACCCGCGUCGCAUUAGCUAGUUGGUGAGGCAACGGCUCACCAAGGCAACGAUGCGUAGCCGACCUGGGAGGGUGAUCGGCAACACUGGGACUGAGACACGGCCCAGACUCCUACGGGAGGCAGCAGUAGGGAAUCUUCCGCAAUGGACGAAAGUCUGACGGAGCAACGCCGCGUGAGUGAUGAAGGCUUUCGGGUCGUAAAACUCUGUUGUUAGGGAAGAACAAGUGCUAGUUGAAUAAGCUGGCACCUUGACGGUACCUAACCGGAAAGCCACGGCUAACUACGUGCCAGCCGCCGCAGUAA
rnacentral:rRNA from 1 species